rnacentral:rRNA from 1 species
UACGAAGGGGGCUAGCGUUGCUCGGAAUCACUGGGCGUAAAGCGCACGUAGGCGGACGAUUAAGUCAGAGGUGAAAGCCUGGAGCUCAACUCCAGAACUGCCUUUGAUACUGGUUGUCUUGAGUUCGGAAGAGGUUGGUGGAACUGCGAGUGUAGAGGUGAAAUUCGUAGAUAUUCGCAAGAACACCGGUGGCGAAGGCGGCCAACUGGUCCGAUACUGACGCUGAGUUGCGAAAGCGUGGGGAUCAAACAGG